CCUACGGGAGACAGCAGUGGGGAAUAUUGGGCAAUGGGCGCAAGCCUGACCCAGCAACGCCGCGUGAAGGAAGAAGGCUUUCGGGUUGUAAACUUCUUUUAAGAGGGAAGAGCAGAAGACGGUACCUCUUGAAUAAGCUACGGCUAACUACGUGCCAGCAGCCGCGGUAAUCCGUAGGUGGCAAGCGUUGUCCGGACUUACUGGGUGUAAAGGGCGUUUAGCCGGGCUGACAAGUCAGAUGUGAAAUUCCGGGGCUCAACCCCGGGCCUGCAUUUGAAACUGUUGGUCUUGAGUAUCGGAGAGGCAGGCGGAAUUCCUAGUGUAGCGGUGAAAUGCGUAGAUAUUAGGAGGAACACCAGUGGCGAAGGCGGCCUGCUGGACGACAACUGACGGUGAGGCGCGAAAGCGUGGGGAGCAAACAGGAUUAGAUACCCUGGUAGUC
rnacentral:rRNA from 1 species